rnacentral:rRNA from 1 species
AUUGAACGCUGGCGGCAGGCCUAACACAUGCAAGUCGAGCGGAUGAAGGGAGCUUGCUCCUGGAUUCAGCGGCGGACGGGUGAGUAAUGCCUAGGAAUCUGCCUGGUAGUGGGGGAUAACGUCCGGAAACGGGCGCUAAUACCGCAUACGGCCUGAGGGAGAAAGUGGGGGAUCUUCGGACCUCACGCUAUCAGAUGAGCCUAGGUCGGAUUAGCUGGUUGGUGGGGUAAAGGCCUACCAAGGCGACGAUCCGUAACUGGUCUGAGAGGAUGAUCAGUCACACUGGAACUGAGACACGGUCCAGACUCCUACGGGAGGCAGCAGUGGGGAAUAUUGGACAAUGGGCGAAAGCCUGAUCCAGCCAUGCCGCGUGUGUGAAGAAGGUCUUCGGAUUGUAAAGCACUUUAAGUUGGGAGGAAGGGCAGUAAGUUAAUACCUUGCUGUUUUGACGUUACCAACAGAAUAAGCACCGGCUAACUUCGUG